GGAAUAUUGCACAAUGGGCGCAAGCCUGAUGCAGCCAUGCCGCGUGUAUGAAGAAGGCCUUCGGGUUGUAAAGUACUUUCAGCGGGGAGGAAGGUGUUGUGGUUAAUAACCACAGCAAUUGACGUUACCCGCAGAAGAAGCACCGGCUAACUCCGUGCCAGCAGCCGCGGUAAUACGGAGGGUGCAAGCGUUAAUCGGAAUUACUGGGCGUAAAGCGCACGCAGGCGGUCUGUCAAGUCGGAUGUGAAAUCCCCGGGCUCAACCUGGGAACUGCAUUCGAAACUGGCAGGCUGGAGUCUUGUAGAGGGGGGUAGAAUUCCAGGUGUAGCGGUGAAAUGCGUAGAGAUCUGGAGGAAUACCGGUGGCGAAGGCGGCCCCCUGGACAAAGACUGACGCUCAGGUGCGAAAGCGUGGGGAGCAAACAGGA
rnacentral:misc_RNA from 1 species